rnacentral:sRNA from 1 species
GUCGUGAGAUGUUGGGUUAAGUCCCGCAACGAGCGCAACCCUUGUCAUUAGUUGCUACAUUCAGUUGGGCACUCUAAUGAGACUGCCGGUGACAAACCGGAGGAAGGUGGGGAUGACGUCAAGUCCUCAUGGCCCUUAUGGGUAGGGCUUCACACGUAAUACAAUGGCGCGUACAGAGGGUUGCCAAGGGGUGACCUGGAGCCAAUCCCACUAAAGCGCGUCGUAGUCCGGAUUGCAGUCUGCAACUCGACUGCAUGAAGUCGGAAUCGCUAGUAAUCGCGGAUCAGCAUGUCGCGGUGAAUACGUUCCCGGGUCUUGUACACACCGCCCGUCACACCAUGGGAGUGGGUUUCACCAGAAGCCGGUCGCCUAACCGCAAGGAGGGCGCCGACCACGGUGAGAUUCAUGACUGGGGUGAAGUCGUAACAAGGUAGCCGUAUCGGAAGGUGCGGCUGGAUCACCUCCUUUCUAAGACAAGGCACCUCUCAGUGCCCACCAUCUAUCGGCUGUUCCCUUGAACAGCAGCUGCAAUAAAAAAGCGACCCAGGCGGGUCUGUAGCUCAGUUGGUUAGAGCACCGUCUUGAUAAGGCGGGGGUCGAUGGUUCGAAUCCAUCCAGACCCACCAUCUCAUCGCAUCACGGGGCCAUAGCUCAGCUGGGAGAGCGCCUGCUUUGCAAGCAGGAGGUCAUCGGUUCGAUCCCGAUUGGCUCCACCAGCAAACCCUCGAGGAAACAGCAUUCAGCCGCGCGUGCGCGCUUGAAUGAUGCUUCUUCGUUUCACCGAAGCGUCGAUCGGCUGCUCUUUAACAAUCUGGAUGAAGGUAGUUGUCUCGAUGAAAGUCGCGUUGUGAUGACGCGAUGAGUAGGCGGGACACUGGGUUAUGUAUUGCAUCGUGUCUCCAUGACCAACCAUCGUGGAGGCGCACAAGCGCGAGAGUUAUCCUGUAAUCGAGUGCGCGAGUGACUUUGACUCGCGUGGCCCUGGCUGGAUGGGGGCGGCAAGGUUAUAGGGUCAAGCGAAUAAGUGCAUGUGGUGGAUGCCUUGGCAACGAUAGGCGAUGAAGGACGUGACAGCCUGCGAUAAGCAGCGGGGAGCCGGCAAAUGGGCUUUGAUCCGCUGAUUU